AUUGAACGCUGGCGGCAGGCCUAACACAUGCAAGUCGAGCGGAUGAAGGGAGCUUGCUCCUGGAUUCAGCGGCGGACGGGUGAGUAAUGCCUAGGAAUCUGCCUGGUAGUGGGGGAUAACGUCCGGAAACGGGCGCUAAUACCGCAUACGUCCUGAGGGAGAAAGUGGGGGAUCUUCGGACCUCACGCUAUCAGAUGAGCCUAGGUCGGAUUAGCUAGUUGGUGGGGUAGAGGCCUACCAAAGCGACGAUCCGUAACUGGUCUGAGAGGAUGAUCAGUCACACUGGAACUGAGACACGGUCCAGACUCCUACGGGAGGCAGCAGUGGGGAAUAUUGGACAAUGGGCGAAAGCCUGAUCCAGCCAUGCCGCGUGUGUGAAGAAGGUCUUCGGAUUGUAAAGCACUUUAAGUUGGGAGGAAGGGCAGUAAGUUAAUACCUUGCUGUUUUGACGUUACCAACAGAAUAAGCACCGGCUAACUUCGUG
rnacentral:rRNA from 1 species